AGGGUUCGAUUCUGGCUCAGGAUGAACGCUGGCGGCGUGCUUAACACAUGCAAGUCGAACGGGAUCCAUCAGGCUUUGCUUGGUGGUGAGAGUGGCGAACGGGUGAGUAAUGCGUGACCGACCUGCCCCAUACACCGGAAUAGCUCCUGGAAACGGGUGGUAAUGCCGGAUGCUCCGACUCCUCGCAUGGGGUGUCGGGAAAGAUUUCAUCGGUAUGGGAUGGGGUCGCGUCCUAUCAGGUAGUCGGCGGGGUAACGGCCCACCGAGCCUACGACGGGUAGCCGGCCUGAGAGGGCGACCGGCCACAUUGGGACUGAGAUACGGCCCAGACUCCUACGGGAGGCAGCAGUGGGGAAUAUUGCACAAUGGGCGCAAGCCUGAUGCAGCGACGCCGCGUGCGGGAUGACGGCCUUCGGGUUGUAAACCGCUUUUGACUGGGAGCAAGCCCUUCGGGGUGAGUGUACCUUUCGAAUAAGCACCGGCUAACUACGUGCCAGCAGCCGCGGUAAUACGUAGGGUGCAAGCGUUAUCCGGAAUUAUUGGGCGUAAAGGGCUCGUAGGCGGUUCGUCGCGUCCGGUGUGAAAGUCCAUCGCUUAACGGUGGAUCCGCGCCGGGUACGGGCGGGCUUGAGUGCGGUAGGGGAGACUGGAAUUCCCGGUGUAACGGUGGAAUGUGUAGAUAUCGGGAAGAACACCAAUGGCGAAGGCAGGUCUCUGGGCCGUUACUGACGCUGAGGAGCGAAAGCGUGGGGAGCGAACAGGAUUAGAUACCCUGGUAGUCCACGCCGUAAACG
rnacentral:rRNA from 1 species